rnacentral:rRNA from 1 species
CGGUAGCACAGAGAGCUUGCUCUCGGGUGACGAGCGGCGGACGGGUGAGUAAUGUCUGGGAAACUGCCUGAUGGAGGGGGAUAACUACUGGAAACGGUAGCUAAUACCGCAUAACGUCGCAAGACCAAAGUGGGGGACCUUCGGGCCUCAUGCCAUCAGAUGUGCCCAGAUGGGAUUAGCUGGUAGGUGGGGUAACGGCUCACCUAGGCGACGAUCCCUAGCUGGUCUGAGAGGAUGACCAGCCACACUGGAACUGAGACACGGUCCAGACUCCUACGGGAGGCAGCAGUGGGGAAUAUUGCACAAUGGGCGCAAGCCUGAUGCAGCCAUGCCGCGUGUGUGAAGAAGGCCUUCGGGUUGUAAAGCACUUUCAGCGGGGAGGAAGGCGGUGAGGUUAAUAACCUCAUCGAUUGACGUUACCCGCAGAAGAAGCACCGGCUAACUCCGUGCCAGCAGCCGCGGUAAUACGGAGGGUGCAAGCGUUAAUCGGAAUUACUGGGCGUAAAGCGCACGCAGGCGGUCUGUCAAGUCGGAUGUGAAAUCCCCGGGCUCAACCUGGGAACUGCAUUCGAAACUGGCAGGCUAGAGUCUUGUAGAGGGGGGUAGAAUUCCAGGUGUAGCGGUGAAAUGCGUAGAGAUCUGGAGGAAUACCGGUGGCGAAGGCGGCCCCCUGGACAAAGACUGACGCUCAGGUGCGAAAGCGUGGGGAGCAAACAGGAUUAGAUACCCUGGUAGUCCACGCUGUAAACGAUGUCGAUUUGGAGGUUGUGCCCUUGAGGCGUGGCUUCCGGAGCUAACGCGUUAAAUCGACCGCCUGGGGAGUACGGCCGCAAGGUUAAAACUCAAAUGAAUUGACGGGGGCCCGCACAAGCGGUGGAGCAUGUGGUUUAAUUCGAUGCAACGCGAAGAACCUUACCUGGUCUUGACAUCCACAGAACUUUCCAGAGAUGGAUUGGUGCCUUCGGGAACUGUGAGACAGGUGCUGCAUGGCUGUCGUCAGCUCGUGUUGUGAAAUGUUGGGUUAAGUCCCGCAACGAGCGCAACCCUUAUCCUUUGUUGCCAGCGGUCCGGCCGGGAACUCAAAGGAGACUGCCAGUGAUAAACUGGAGGAAGGUGGGGAUGACGUCAAGUCAUCAUGGCCCUUACGACCAGGGCUACACACGUGCUACAAUGGCAUAUACAAAGAGAAGCGACCUCGCGAGAGCAAGCGGACCUCAUAAAGUAUGUCGUAGUCCGGAUUGGAGUCUGCAACUCGACUCCAUGAAGUCGGAAUCGCUAGUAAUCGUAGAUCAGAAUGCUACGGUGAAUACGUUCCCGGGCCUUGUACACACCGCCCGUCACACCAUGGGAGUGGGUUGUAAAAGAAGAACGUAGCUCAACCUUGUGGUAACAAGGUAACCCGCAGAGGUUGUCCGUUUA